rnacentral:rRNA from 1 species
GACGAACGCUGGCGGCGUGCUUAACACAUGCAAGUCGAACGGAAAGGCCCUGCUUGCAGGGUACUCGAGUGGCGAACGGGUGAGUAACACGUGGGUGAUCUGCCCUGCACUUCGGGAUAAGCCUGGGAAACUGGGUCUAAUACCGGAUAGGAGCCAUUUUUAGUGUGAUGGUUGGAAAGUUUUUUCGGUGUAGGAUGAGCUCGCGGCCUAUCAGCUUGUUGGUGGGGUAAUGGCCUACCAAGGCGGCGACGGGUAGCCGGCCUGAGAGGGUGGACGGCCACAUUGGGACUGAGAGACGGCCCAGACUGCUACGGGAGGCAGCAGGGGGGAAUAUUGCACAAUGGGCGCAAGCCUGAUGCAGCGACGCCGCGUGGGGGAUGACGGCCUUCGGGUUGUAAACUCCUUUCGCUAGGGACGAAGCUUUUUGUGACGGUACCUAGAUAAGAAGCACCGGCUAACUACGUG